GCUGGGCAUGGUGGCACGUGCCUGUAAUCCUAGCUACUCGGGAGGCUGAGAUAGGAGAAUAGCUUGAACCCAGGAGGCAGAGGCUGCAGUGAGUUGAGAUUGUGCCACUGCACUUCAGCCUGGGUAACAGAGCAAGACUCUGUCUCCA
rnacentral:sRNA from 1 species